AGCUACAGUCAUAUCACCCUGCAGCCCAAGACCGGUUACUCACUGAAGCUAAGCAGGGCUGAGCCUGGUCAGUACCUGGAUGGGAGACCACAUGGGAACACCAGGGUCCUGAUGGAA
rfam:Danio rerio unplaced genomic contig NA526, GRCz11 reference primary assembly.